UUUCCACAUUUUCUGUUUGUUUCUCGGGAAUCUCUAUUUAUAAAGAUUAUCGAUUAUCAUUGAACCGAACCUUCUUCCUGAUCAUUUUUAAUGAAAAAAAAAAUUGGGGUAAAAUUAACCUUUGCUAAAACGUACUUUGGAAUUUAAUUAUAUUGGAUAAAAUGUCUUCCCCAAACAAGAGGCGAAAAAUGGAUGUAAUGAAGUUGACUGUCUGCAAUUGUUUUGCAUCAAUGAGAUAAUGUGGUUUUGUCAAGGUGUCCCUGAGGAACCAAACCAGUUGACUUAAUAAAA